AGGAUGGGUCACCAGAAGAGCAACUGCCUCUCCUGUAGCCAGGGAGCCCCUGGAGGCAGAAACUCAACCAUCAGUGCCAUUACCAUGGAACUGUCACCCUCACAUCAUGGGAAGCACACCUGCCACACCUUGUCUCUUGGCAUCCUCAUAAGCAGUGGAGGGGCUUUGGAAUUCAAUCAAAUGACUCCACAAGCAACGGAAAGAGCCGUCUGAGGCACCUGCCCCCUUCAGCUUCUCCACACUCAGUAGAGGACACGUCAAUGGAGUCUAAGGACUGGUCAGAACUUAAGCCUCUAGGAAAUCUUGGAAAUGUAACUCUUGGUUUUCCCAGUCUCUGUGGAGGGAAGACACCAGAAGGGUGGUAAUGGCUAAGAAACAUCACAUCCCUGCCUCACAUCUGUAGAUGCAUUCCCCAUGACUCUGAGGUUCCCUUCAUUUCAACCAAGUUUGAAUUAUCUGGGGUAACUGUUGCUUAGACUUCUUGGUGAUCUCCGGCUCACCUUAACUCUGUCACACAACGAAUGUUAAUAAUCUGCAGGUAGGUGUCUCCAUAUACCGAGCCAGCAGCUCUCAAUGCUUACGGUAGAAUUGACUUCAGAGUCGCUAUUUGUGGAAGCUGUUUUUAUUAUAAUGUUAUUUAAAAUAUAGAAAGCAUAAAAAUAGCUAUAAAAUUCCCAUGGUUACCAAAAAAAUCUGUUUAAAAAACUAUAAAAAUUAAUUUGCAAAUUAAACCCAAGCAAAACUCUAAAACUAAUGAGAUUCAGACCAAUAUGUCAUUAGCAUGAUUAAUGACACUGUUUUGUUUAACGUAAAUUACCAAUGUUGGACCUAAUAGUAGGAAAAUUCCCUUUCGAGUUUUACAUCCCACGUGUUAAUGGUCUGAUUCUUUUGACCGUGUGCGGGAUGGCCCCUCACAAGACGAUCCCUCUUGAGACGGUCCCUCGCUUCUGUCACUGUCAGUAUCACCAUCACUAUAUUUUUCCUUUUGAACAAUGAAAUAUUUUUUAAGUACUGAUUUUAAUGGGUCAAUCAAUUUAAUGGUGCACCCUGAAAUAAAGUGCUGAAAACUUUAAAGCACCAUUGAGCGAAGCCCUCCUUGGUGUGUAAUUACUAAUGCCCCAUUGUUAAUGAGCUGUGCAAGGCUGGUUUGCACAAAGAAGCCCAUUUGUGCUACAGAGCCGCUUCGAGGGUGAGUCCAGCUACCACUGAUGCUCUAGAGUCUGAAUUCUGCGCUGCCAUGUGUGGGUGACAACUUGACCCCCUCUCUCCUCUGCAGGUGACCUGCUGGGGGUUUGUUUGAGAUUCAGUUGGCAUCUACAUGCCGAUUAAUAUAAAUGUAAACAGGAUUGAACAUUCUCAUGAGGGGAAUACCUCCCUGCCAACCAAGAAUGGGGGCGGGGGGGGGGGC
rnacentral:lncRNA from 1 species